rnacentral:tRNA from 1 species
GGGGGGAUGGCGGAACUGGUAGACGCAGGGGACUUAAAAUCCUCCGGUCGUGAGACCUUGCGGGUUCGAGUCCCGUUCCCCCCACCA